GACGAACGCUGGCGGCGUGCCUAAUACAUGCAAGUUGAGCGCUGAAGGUUGGUACUUGUACCAACUGGAUGAGCAGCGAACGGGUGAGUAACGCGUGGGGAAUCUGCCUUUGAGCGGGGGACAACAUUUGGAAACGAAUGCUAAUACCGCAUAAAAACUUUAAACACAAGUUUUAAGUUUGAAAGAUGCAAUUGCAUCACUCAAAGAUGAUCCCGCGUUGUAUUAGCUAGUUGGUGAGGUAAAGGCUCACCAAGGCGAUGAUACAUAGCCGACCUGAGAGGGUGAUCGGCCACAUUGGGACUGAGACACGGCCCAAACUCCUACGGGAGGCAGCAGUAGGGAAUCUUCGGCAAUGGACGAAAGUCUGACCGAGCAACGCCGCGUGAGUGAAGAAGGUUUUCGGAUCGUAAAACUCUGUUGGUAGAGAAGAACGUUGGUGAGAGUGGAAAGCUCAUUAAGUGACGGUAACUACCCAGAAAGGGACGGCUAACUACGUG
rnacentral:rRNA from 1 species